rnacentral:tRNA from 1 species
GAGCCGCUAGCUCAAUUGGUAGAGCAACCGCCUCUUAAGCGGUAGGUUCCGAGUUCAAUCCUCGGGCGGCUCACCA